rnacentral:lncRNA from 1 species
CCAAUAUAACCCUCCAAUAAGUUUAUUAGAAUUGGAUUUGUGUCAAUGGAAUCUCAUCAUUUACACUUACUAAAAUUAAUGUUAUAUAUUCAUAUUAUAACAUAUAAACAAUAAGAACUAGCAUUCUUAUUAAAACUAAAAUUCAUAGGGAUUGAUAGAUAUAUAUAUAUGCACAAUAUAGACAAUAUACAUAGUUUCUGAAAGGUAUCAUGAACUGUACAAGUAAAGCCUUUUCAGUUAAUGCUCACUAGAAUGUUAAAAUAGAUCCGU